AGUGAACGCUGGCGGUAGGCCUAACACAUGCAAGUCGAACGGCAGCACAGUAAGAGCUUGCUCUUACGGGUGGCGAGUGGCGGACGGGUGAGGAAUACAUCGGAAUCUACUUUUUCGUGGGGGAUAACGUAGGGAAACUUACGCUAAUACCGCAUACGACCUACGGGUGAAAGCAGGGGAUCUUCGGACCUUGCGCGAUUGAAUGAGCCGAUGUCGGAUUAGCCAGUUGGCGGGGUAAAGGCCCACCAAGGCGACGAUCCGUAGCUGGUCUGAGAGGAUGAUCAGCCACACUGGAACUGAGACACGGUCCAGACUCCUACGGGAGGCAGCAGUGGGGAAUAUUGGACAAAGGGCGCAAGCCUGAUCCAGCCAUACCGAGUGGGUGAAGAAGGCCUUCGGGUUGUAAAGCCCUUUUGUUGGGAAAGAAAAGCAGCAGGUUAAUACCCCGCUGUUCUGACGGUACCCAAAGAAUAAGCACCGGCUAACUUCGUG
rnacentral:rRNA from 1 species